GACGAACGCUGGCGGCAUGCCUAACACAUGCAAGUCGAACGAGACCUUCGGGUCUAGUGGCGCAAGGGUGCGUAACGCGUGGGAACCUGCCCUUAGGUUCGGAAUAACUCCCCGAAAGGGGUGCUAAUACCGGAUAAUGUCUUCGGACCAAAGAUUUAUCGCCUUUGGAUGGGCCCGCGUUGGAUUAGCUAGUUGGUAGGGUAAAAGCCUACCAAGGCGACGAUCCAUAGCUGGUCUGAGAGGAUGAUCAGCCACACUGGGACUGAGACACGGCCCAGACUCCUACGGGAGGCAGCAGUGGGGAAUAUUGGACAAUGGGCGAAAGCCUGAUCCAGCAAUGCCGCGUGAGUGAUGAAGGCCUUAGGGUUGUAAAGCUCUUUUACCCGGGAUGAUAAUGACAGUACCGGGAGAAUAAGCGCCGGCUAACUCCGUG
rnacentral:rRNA from 1 species